rnacentral:rRNA from 1 species
GAUGAACGCUGGCGGCGUGCCUAAUACAUGCAAGUCGAGCGAACGGACGAGAAGCUUGCUUUUCUGAUGUUAGCGGCGGACGGGUGAGUAACACGUGGAUAACCUACCUAUAAGACUGGGAUAACUUCGGGAAACCGGAGCUAAUACCGGAUAAUAUUUUGAACCGCAUGGUUCAAAAGUGAAAGACGGUCUUGCUGUCACUUAUAGAUGGAUCCGCGCUGCAUUAGCUAGUUGGUAAGGUAACGGCUUACCAAGGCAACGAUGCAUAGCCGACCUGAGAGGGUGAUCGGCCACACUGGAACUGAGACACGGUCCAGACUCCUACGGGAGGCAGCAGUAGGGAAUCUUCCGCAAGGGGCGAAAGCCUGACGGAGCAACGCCGCGUGGGUGAGGAAGGUCUUCGGAUCGUAAAACGCUGUUAUUAGGGAAGAACAUAUGUGUAAGUAACUUUGCACAUCUGGACGGUACCUAAUCAGAAAGCCACGGCUAACUACGU